UACGUAGGGUGCGAGCGUUAAUCGGAAUUACUGGGCGUAAAGCGUGCGCAGGCGGUUCGUUAAGUUCGUUGUGAAAGCCCCGGGCUCAACCUGGGAACUGCAUUUGUGACUGCAAGGCUGGAGUGCGGCAGAGGGGGAUGGAAUUCCGCGUGUAGCAGUGAAAUGCGUAGAUAUCGGGAGGAACACCAGUGGCGAAGGCGGCUUUCUGGUCUGCUCUUGACGCUGAGGCGCGAAAGCUAGGGUAGCAAACGGG
rnacentral:rRNA from 1 species